rnacentral:rRNA from 1 species
GACGGGGCCGCACAAGCGGUGGAGCAUGUGGUUUAAUUCGAAGCAACGCGAAGAACCUUACCAGGUCUUGACAUCCCUGACAACCCGAGAGAUCGGGCGUUCCCCUUCGGGGGACAGGGUGACAGGUGGUGCAUGGUUGUCGUCAGCUCGUGUCGUGAGAUGUUGGGUUAAGUCCCGCAACGAGCGCAACCCUCGACCUUAGUUGCCAGCAUUCAGUUGGGCACUCUAAGGUGACUGCCGGCUAAAAGUCGGAGGAAGGUGGGGAUGACGUCAAAUCAUCAUGCCCCUUAUGACCUGGGCUACACACGUGCUACAAUGGGCGGUACAAAGGGUCGCGAACCCGCGAGGGGGAGCCAAUCCCAAAAAGCCGCUCUCAGUUCGGAUUGCAGGCUGCAAUUCGCCUGCAUGAAGUCGGAAUCGCUAGUAAUCGCAGGUCAGCAUACUGCGGUGAAUACGUUCCCGGGCCUU